CCCCUCAUCCUCCUGCGCUCUAAGGAAUAGAAUUCUGUCCUGGUCAACUGCUCUCUACAGCUCAGACUCUUGCGUCCAGGCAACAUCCUCGUGAAUCCUCUCUGCACCCUUUCCUGCUUGACAAUAUCCUUCCUAU